UACGAAGGGGGCUAGCGUUGCUCGGAAUUACUGGGCGUAAAGGGCGCGUAGGCGGCUUAGUUAGUCAGGCGUGAAAUUCCUGGGCUCAACCUGGGGACUGCGCUUGAUACGGCUAGGCUAGAGGAUGGAAGAGGGUCGCGGAAUUCCCAGUGUAGAGGUGAAAUUCGUAGAUAUUCGGAAGAACACCAGUGGCGAAGGCGGCUCACUGGCCCGUUACCGACGCUCAGGCGCGACGAGCGUGGGGAGCAAACAGG
rnacentral:rRNA from 1 species